UACGGGGGGGGCAAGCGUUGUUCGGAAUUACUGGGCGUAAAGGGCUCGUAGGUGGCCAACUAAGUCAGACGUGAAAUCCCCAGGCUCAACCUGGGAACUGCGUCUGAUACUGGAUGGCUUGAGUUCGGGAGAGGGAAGUGGAAUUCCAGGUGUAGCGGUGAAAUGCGUAGAUAUCUGGAGGAACACCGGUGGCGAAGGCAGCUUCCUGGACCGACACUGACGCUGAGGCGCGAAAGCCAGGGGAGCAAACGGG
rnacentral:rRNA from 1 species